UAUUAAUUUAUUUUUCUAGAUUCCUCAUACAGAAAAAAAAUCUUCAUGGAUUCACACACAAGUCUCUACUUAUAGCAACAACACAUGCGGUUGGGCUUUCCAUUGUCCGGUGCACAUUUGCCUUUCUGUAAGACAAAACCGUUAUCUCUGCAGUAAAUCUGACACUGACUAGGGAUCCCCUUCACCGGGUCCUUGCAGCCUUGGUCCCAUCCCACACAAAACUUGUUAAAACCUUCUCCAUCUGCAUGCCCAAGCAUAUAUAUUUAAGCCAUGGCGAAAGUACGUAAGGGAACAUAAACACUUGCAUUUGUUUGAUUAUACAGAAAAUGUUUCAUGUCGUUGUAUAAAGCAUAAAUAAAUAUGAAUGAAUAUAAUAAAAGGAAUAUACCUUUGAUCCCAUAAGAUGCAUCACAUGAUAAGAAUGUGGCGGAUAGCACAAGAACAGCUGUCAAGCACAAAACCCUUGGGUUGUUCAUGAGAAGCGCCAUGGGGAGGAUAUCCACUAUUCUUCUUCUCCAAUUGUUG
rnacentral:lncRNA from 1 species